CCUCAGGCGCUGCCCCCCCCGCCUCGCUUCACAAAAUGGCCGCCCGGCGGGCCCGCGGUGGGUCGGAGCCGCCAUCUCCCGCUUUCCUCACGGCAUGGAAAAUACCCAAACGUGCUUGAGGGGAAAAAAAAACAAACCAAGGAGAAAUCCCCUAACACCCGAGGACUGAUUUAUCUUCGGAGCCGGAGUGGUGUGGGAAGAAGCCAUCGCCGCUCGCCUGCUCCCCACGACAGCUCGCCCGCCAUUCGCUUAAUUAAAAUCAUAUAUUGGUGUGAUCAGACGUGGUAAUACCAUAAAAAACCAAAAUCCCGUAAGAUCCACAUGCUCGUUGUUGGAGGCUGCAGCCAAGUCCCCAAGUGACCUCCUGCAGCGCUGCCUGCGCUGCAGUUCGACCACAGCUUUGCAUUGAAGCACUGAUGUGUCUCCCUGGGAGCCAGAGUGACCUUGCUGGGGGGACUGGGCCCACCAGGCAAUGCAGAUGCUCCUCUUCAUCCCAGAUCCCUGCACCCCUUUUUCCCCAUGCAUCCCUUCCCUCACUGGGGGGAUGUUACAGUGUUACAGAGGGUAAAGCUGUUUCAUGCCUUAUUUUUUCUGUCUUCUUUUAAAUUUUAU